GGGGAUAUGGCGGAAUUGGUAGACGCUAUAGACUUAAAAUCUGUUGGUUCUUUGAACCGUGAGGGUUCAAAUCCCUCUUUCCCCA
rnacentral:tRNA from 1 species